UACAGAGGUCUCAAGCGUUGUUCGGAUUCAUUGGGCGUAAAGGGUGCGUAGGUGGUUGCGUAAGUCUGGUGUGAAAUCUCGGAGCUCAACUCCGAAAUUGCAUUGGAUACUGCGCGACUAGAGGACUGUAGAGGAGAGAGGAAUUCACGGUGUAGCAGUGAAAUGCGUAGAUAUCGUGAGGAAGACCAGUUGCGAAAGCGUCUCUCUGGGCAGUUCCUGACACUGAGGCACGAAGGCCAGGGGAGCAAACGGG
rnacentral:rRNA from 1 species